rnacentral:rRNA from 1 species
GAUGAACGCUGGCGGCGUGCCUAAUACAUGCAAGUCGAGCGAAUGGAUUAAGAGCUUGCUCUUAUGAAGUUAGCGGCGGACGGGUGAGUAACACGUGGGUAACCUGCCCAUAAGACUGGGAUAACUCCGGGAAACCGGGGCUAAUACCGGAUAACAUUUUGAACCGCAUGGUUCGAAAUUGAAAGGCGGCUUCGGCUGUCACUUAUGGAUGGACCCGCGUCGCAUUAGCUAGUUGGUGAGGUAACGGCUCACCAAGGCAACGAUGCGUAGCCGACCUGGGAGGGUGAUCAGCCACACUGGGACGGAGACACGGCCCAGACGCCUACGGGAGGCAGCAGUAGGGAAUCUUCCGCAAUGGACGAAAGUCUGACGGAGCAACGCCGCGUGAGUGAUGAAGGCUUUCGGGUCGUAAAACUCUGUUGUUAGGGAAGAACAAGUGCUAGUUGAAUAAGCUGGCACCUUGACGGUACCUAACCAGAAAGCCACGGCUAACUACGUGCCAGCAGCCGCCGUAA